UAGGGAAUAUUGGGCAAUGGACGCAAGUCUGACCCAGCCAUCCCGCGUGAAGGAUGAAGGAUCUAUGGUUCGUAAACUUCUUUUAUUGGGGAAGAAAAAGUCUCAUUCAUGAGAAACUGACGGUACCCAAUGAAUAAGCACCGGCUAACUCCGUGCCAGCAGCCGCGGUAAUACGGAGGGUGCAAGCGUUAUCCGGAUUCACUGGGUUUAAAGGGUGCGUAGGCGGCUUUAUAAGUCAUUGGUGAAAGCUCGCAGCUUAACUGUGAAACUGCCAAUGAAACUGUUUAGCUUGAAUGUGGUUGAAGUGGGCGGAAUACAACAUGUAGCGGUGAAAUGCUUAGAUAUGUUGUAGAACACCGAUUGCGAAGGCAGCUCACUAAGCCAAUAUUGACGCUGAGGCACGAAAGCGUGGGUAGCGAACAGGAUUAGAUACCCCUGUAGUCC
rnacentral:rRNA from 1 species